UUGGUCGUCUGGUGCACGGGUCGCCGUCGAGGGUGGCAGGUUAUUGCCGUCGAGAUUCGAGAUCGUUGACUGUCAUCGGGGACAUUUAACCGGACAUUAAACGUUACAUCAUGGCAUCGGCAACGGAGCAACAGCAACAGACCACCUUGGAAUUCUAUCAGGCAAUGGCAGAUUUUAAAAACAUGUUUCCACAGAUGGACGACGACGUUAUCGAGGCGGUUUUGCGAUCGAACCAAGGAGCAGUAGACACGACGAUCGAUCAGCUACUUACGAUGAGUACGGAUAACGAGAACGAGAAAAUUAGAGGCGAACUGGAGCAAAACGAGGAACCGCCAAAGGUGAUCUCGAGACCAGGAAAGGAGGACAACAGCGAUUCACUGAAAAGUAUCCACAAGUGGCAACCACCGCUGUUGGGACCAUUACCUGAUAAUUUCCUAAGGCUUCCUCAACAAUUGACCGAAGAAUCCGAUAGCAUACAAGCCUUGGUCGCUUCCGAGAAUACGAGGCUCGAUGACGAAAGGAUCGUUAUGUUUCUUCAAAAUGAAGAAUUCAUGGCAGAGUUGCGAUGGAACGAGGACUUUUUAUUGACACUGGAGAAUGAUGCAAAGGUGCAGCGAGCUGAACUCGAGAACGGUGGAGAUUCGAUCACCCACGACGACGAAGACUUGUUUAAAGAGAGAUUGAAAAACAUGGGGAAAGUGUCGCGCCGGAAAUUUGCCCAGCUGACGAAGGUGUUCACUCGUAGUAAGAAGAAAAAUGGACGUCACCUCUUGCCUCCGACAGCAUCCUGCGACGACCUCUUAGAUCCCGAAGACUCGACAAGAUCUCAGUCUUAAUUCAGUGCUGCCCCAACAAAGUCAAUUUUAAACAUAUUCCAAUGUGACUCAUCGAUUAACAGUUACGGGUGUUAACGACAGGAAUCUGUUGCAGCUAUAAACACUCUAGAUUAAAGUCAUUUUGUCUACGACGCAAUGGAGGACAGUCGAGCACUUGAGGGAUAGAAAAGGUAACAUUUGUGACGAGUCAAAGGGGACUACACAUUGCAGGAAAUGAAUGGACAUUGUUUUGAAGAGGAAACUGCAAGAUAAUAGUAAAACAGCUUUGUAAUUUACAACGGUAUAACCAACGGUCUGGAGUCUAUUUUCCUUUAAUAAAAUAAUAUCUUAUGUUCUUAGAAUACAUUGGUUAAUAAUUCUAUUAAUGCCAGUGAUAAUAUAUCGUACUCAUUUUGGGUAAUUAAUUCCUUACUGUGAUUGGUAUUCCGUUAUCUCGGAAUCUCACUAGAUUGCUAAAUAUGUUCAGUUAAGUUAGCAUUCGGCAAUGUAAUUCAAGCAAGUUUAAAUAAAAAGUUAUAUUUAGUUUUUACAGAUGCCUUUGCAUCCACUUCUUGAGGUCCAUGAGCCAUGUUCCUAGAUUAGCGAUAAGUUAGAGUGCAUUAAAAGCCCUAAAUUUCUUACGGAUAAAAUUAAAAUUAUUGUAGCUCUAAAAAUUUAGCACCGCAAACGUGAUGGGAGCUGCGUGU
rnacentral:misc_RNA from 1 species